rnacentral:rRNA from 1 species
UACGGAGGAUGCGAGCGUUAUCCGGAUUUAUUGGGUUUAAAGGGUGCGUAGGCGGACGCUUAAGUCAGCGGUAAAAUUGCGGGGCUCAACCUCUUCCCGCCGUUGAAACUGGUGGUCUUGAGUGGAUGAGAAGUACGCGGAAUGCGUGGUGUAGCGGUGAAAUGCAUAGAUAUCACGCAGAACUCCGAUUGCGAAGGCAGCGUACCGGCAUCCAACUGACGCUGAGGCACGAAAGCGUGGGGAUCAAACAGG